CACAAAUACAUUCACUUUACACCUGCCAUGGCAAUAAGCCGAUUUUUCCCCCUGGCUACUUUACACACGUGCGCCCGCGCAUGAGGCUAAAUAAGACGGCUUCACAAACAUCUCCCCAACACCUUGGAGCAUUCGUUUUCGCUACGGCCGCACCCGAAAUAACUCACACCCACCCAAAGCAGAGGCCUUGCCCUGCUCCCGCCGCAAAGCCACGGCCGCGCUGCUCCCGCGAUGGCCAGAUCCCCAGCCCACGGACAAAUGGAGGGUGCGAAAACCACUCAGGGGCAAGAAUGUACGACAGCGGCGGCACUCCGGACCGAUAGCGGGCGGGCCGGGGCCCUGCGGAGCGCGGCGGGCCCGCGGCGGCGCAGCCCCUCCCUCCGCUCCCUCCCUCCGCUCUAUACAGGGCCCCCACGUGAUCCAGGCGGACGUUUCAAUACUGCUGCACAGACAUACAAAAAUAUUUCUGGAAACUUCCACUCCUAAUAAUUUACAGAUUAUGUCCCUAGUUUUGCCCGUACCCGAUCCAAACCCUUCCAAAUCGUUCAGCCUUCCUAGCAGCGAAAGGCAGGCCUCCGCCGUACGCCUCAACAACGGCUUCCCGGCGCUUCUGCCGUCUUUCCCGUGGCACCAGCAUCCACGGUUUUCUCCGUGAACUUGAUUUAGAGAGGCUUUUUCUGUGAAAAUUGAGGACCCUUGAAACUUGCUGCUGACCAGUCUGAAAACUCAAUAUGCCUGCUAUUUCUGUUACAAUCUUGGGAGAAACAACCCUUAAAUAGUCUUGUCAGAGGCCCAUAGCCAUGUAGUCAUCUAAAGUAGCUUUCUUUUUAACUAACUCACCGUUCUAAUGCAGUUCACAUUUCCUUUGUUAACAGAGAUUUUUACUGCAGUUUUGGGAGGAUAGUAUUUACAUUGUACUGGAAGAAAAGUUUCCACCAAAUGUUUGUAGCAUUUCUGUAGCUUGGAGUUUAUAAGGAAAUAACCAAUACUAAGUGUUUUGUUGUUCAGCUGGGGUAACUCUGUCUACUCCAUCUUGUAUUUAAAAAGCAUGUGACUGUAAUCAUCAUUAUUCUGUUUGUCAGCUAGUACUUUGUGCUUUUCAUCUCAGCAAUACUCAUUGUCAAAGGGCAAUUCCACUUGUUGAUCCUUCUCCAGUAUCCUGCUGAGGUAGUCUUUUUUGCCUGUUUCUGAUCCAGCACUUUACUUUAGAGAUCAUGGGAUUUGAACUUUGCUUUGAACAUAUCUUUUCUCAUUUCUAUCCAUGUAUUGUUUAAAAAUUAAAAAAGAGAG